CUUGUUGCAUUAUGCUUAUGAACCAUCCCCCAACAAGAGUUUUAAAUGAAGAAAUCGAUCAAGGACUAUGCGUGUUUUAAUUGCUACGUAUUGAAGGUCGGUAUUUCGUCUCGAUGGAUUUUUUCAAAUAAAGGGUUUAAUUGUACAAAUUUUAAACUAUAGGGGAUAAUACAAAAGUUUAUGGAGCCAGAUCAUUGCUUCAAUGGAAGUACAGGGACCAAAUAUGUUUUUUAACCCAGUCCGAACAAGUUUUAAAAGUUGAAGAUGUUGAUAAUGUCUGUUCUUUAAUGAUUUGUGAUGUCCCACAUUGGUUGGGGAGGAGAACAAAAACACCCGUUAUGAGGGUGUGUAAAUCUUCCCCUAGCAAACGUGUUCUAAAGCCUUGAGGGGAAGCCCGAAAGGGAAAACC